CAUUUCUAAUAUUGUGUAAGAAAAGUGUUUCAUCUCUUGUAACACUACUGAUAUUGGUUUGGGAUUACCUACGUAUCAAUAUAAAUUUUGAAAAUGUAUUUGAAUAAGAGAUUAUAAAUUUUUUCAAUUUCUUUUUACACAAAUAUUUCGUUAAAAUCGAUUGUACAAAUUUAAUAAAAGGUUAUGAUCCAGAGAAAAUUUCUGUGACAAACAGUCUCAACAUUCGGGCCAGACAGAGAUCGGAAAACUGGAUCCGUAUUAUGACAAAAGGCUA